rnacentral:rRNA from 1 species
ACCCGAAGUCCGUGAGGUAACCGUAAGGAGCCAGCGGCCGAAGGUGGGGUCAAUGAUUGGGGUGAAGUCGUAACAAGGUAGCCGUAGGAGAACCUGCGGCUGGAUCACCUCCUUUCUAAGGAG